UACGGGGGGGGCAAGCGUUGUUCGGAAUUACUGGGCGUAAAGGGCUCGUAGGCGGCCAACUAAGUCGGAUGUGAAAUCCCCAAGCUUAACUUGGGAACUGCAUCCGAUACUGGAUGGCUUGAAUCCGGGAGAGGGAUGCAGAAUUCCAGGUGUAGCGGUGAAAUGCGUAGAUAUCUGGAGGAACACCGGUGGCGAAGGCGGCAUCCUGGACCGAGAUUGACGCUGAGAAGCGAAAGCAUGGGGAGCGAACAGG
rnacentral:rRNA from 1 species